UGCGGGGUGGAGCAGCCCGGUAGCUCGUCAGGCUCAUAACCUGAAGGUCGUAGGUUCAAAUCCUACCCCCGCUACCA
rnacentral:tRNA from 4 species